UUCGGUACGACAUUGCUCACAUUGCUUCCAGUAUUAUUUGCCCGCACUCUGUGCGGGCUUUUUUU
rfam:Yokenella regensburgei ATCC 43003 genomic scaffold Scfld157, whole genome shotgun sequence.